AGACCGUGAUGCGGGCACUUCCUUAAUAGCUCCUUGAACCUUUCCCAUGUCUCGUAUAAGGAUUCCCCGUCUUCUUGAGAGUAGGUGUUGAUCUCGCUCAUGAGUUU
rnacentral:snoRNA from 2 species